rnacentral:misc_RNA from 1 species
AACGCAACUUGCGCUUUUGGGUAUCCCUGAAAGCAUACCUCUCUGAGUAUCGUUUCAACACAAACUCGACUGCGUCCUCAAAAAACGUGUGUCGGUGAAUGAGUCGUCUCAGCGUCGAAGCGCUGAGUCACUUGAAGCGAAUAUCACUUCCCAUAUUAAUUCGUUUUCCAAGAAAUUGGAGCUUUCGAGCUUUUAUUCUUGGGAACUAAUUGAUGUUUGAUAAUUGACUUCGGUCAUUUAACUAUCACAUCGGUUAGUAGAAUUUCUUCAUGGUAGUGCAUAACAAGGAACCUUUAAAAGAACGAAACAUUGAUUUGUUUCCUCUUUUUCUGAUCUUGAUCUCAGAUGAAGUAAGAGAACCCGCCGAAUUUAA